AUUGAACGCUGGCGGAAUGCUUUACACAUGCAAGUCGAACGGCAGCACGGGGCAACCCUGGUGGCGAGUGGCGAACGGGUGAGUAACACAUCGGAACGUGCCCAAUCGUGGGGGAUAACGUAGCGAAAGCUACGCUAAUACCGCAUACGAUCUACGGAUGAAAGCGGGGGAUCGCAAGACCUCGCGCGAAUGGAGCGGCCGAUGGCAGAUUAGGUAGUUGGUGGGGUAAAGGCUCACCAAGCCAACGAUCUGUAGCUGGUCUGAGAGGACGACCAGCCACACUGGGACUGAGACACGGCCCAGACUCCUACGGGAGGCAGCAGUGGGGAAUUUUGGACAAUGGGCGAAAGCCUGAUCCAGCCAUUCCGCGUGCAGGAUGAAGGCCUUCGGGUUGUAAACUGCUUUUGGACGGAACGAAAAGCCAUUUUCUAAUACAGGGUGGUCAUGACGGUACCGUCAGAAUAAGCACCGGCUAACUACGUG
rnacentral:rRNA from 1 species